AUUGAACGCUGGCGGCAGGCCUAACACAUGCAAGUCGAACGAGUGGCGGACGGGUGAGUAAUGUCUGGGAAACUGCCCGAUUGCGGGGGAUAACUACUGGAAACGGUAGCUAAUACCGCAUACCAUCGGAUGUGCCCAGAUUGGAUUAGCUAGUAGGUGGGGUAACGGCUCACCUAGGCGACGAUCCCUAGCUGGUCUGAGAGGAUGACCAGCCACACUGGGACUGAGACACGGUCCAGACUCCUACGGGAGGCAGCAGUGGGGAAUAUUGCACAAGGGGGGAAAGCCUGAUGCAGCAAUGCCGCGUGGAUGAAGAAGGCCUUAGGGUUGUAAAGUACUUUCAGCGGGGAGGCGUUACUCGCAGAAGAAGCACCGGCUAACUCCGUGCCAGCAGCCGCGGUAAUAC
rnacentral:rRNA from 1 species